rnacentral:rRNA from 1 species
UACGGGGGGGGCAAGCGUUGUUCGGAAUUACUGGGCGUAAAGGGCUCGUAGGUGGCCAACUAAGUCAUACGUGAAAUCCCUCAGCUUAACUGGGGAACUGCGUCUGAUACUGGAUGGCUUGAGUUUGGGAGAGGGAUGCGGAAUUCCAGGUGUAGCGGUGAAAUGCGUAGAUAUCUGGAGGAACACCGGUGGCGAAGGCGGCAUCCUGGACCAAUACUGACACUGAGGAGCGAGAGGCCAGGGGA